rnacentral:rRNA from 1 species
GACGAACGCUGGCGGCGUGCUUAACACAUGCAAGUCGAACGGAAAGGCCCUGCUUUUGUGGGGUGCUCGAGUGGCGAACGGGUGAGUAACACGUGAGUAACCUGCCCUUGACUUUGGGAUAACUUCAGGAAACUGGGGCUAAUACCGGAUAGGAGCUCCUGCUGCAUGGUGGGGGUUGGAAAGUUUCGGCGGUUGGGGAUGGACUCGCGGCUUAUCAGCUUGUUGGUGGGGUAGUGGCUUACCAAGGCUUUGACGGGUAGCCGGCCUGGGAGGGUGACCGGCAACAUUGGGCCGGAGAUACGGCCCAGACUCCAACGGGAGGAAGAAGUGGGGAAUAUUGAAAAAGGGGCGGAAGCCUGAUGAAGAAACGCCGCGUGCGGGAUGACGGCCUUCGGGUUGUAAACCGCUUUCGCCUGUGACGAAGCGUGAGUGACGGUAAUGGGAAAAGAAGCACCGGCUACCUAGGU